AUAAUACUUAAGAGCAGUCACUCCCAACAUGUAGUACAAGGACCACUAGUGGCAUUUGUGGGCAUUGUAGGCAUAUGCUGAAUUUUGCCGUAUGUCAUAUGCUUAUUAUGCAUAUACUUAUAACAAAUCAGAAUUAUUAUCUUUUAUUGUUUUUACUUUGCACUGAAAACAUCUACAGACUGGAACUAUUGCUUACGAGUAAUUAAAGUAUUAUUCAACAACCACUGAAAUCAACUUCGAUGUCACACCCAACAUUCCUAUGAAUGUUGUCACACAGGUCAGUCGGUACCAAAUACCAAAUUACUUUCUGCGUCAAACUACAGCGGGGUUUAGCUGUUAUUGUAAAGGUUGGUGCUUCCCUUUGUUACUGGACACAGUACAUGUUAGCUGACAGCUGCUGGUGCAGUGGUAGGCUGAAAUUCCACUCUCCAAAGCUUUGGCAACAGACUUCCUUCCAAAGUUGAUGUCGCUGACUUAAUCACACGUUGCUGUCUAUGGUCAACACAGAAUGAACGGCAGUGCCUGGAUAAGUAACAACAACGGUGUUGACACAUUCCGAGCCUUGACACUGGUGGAUUUGAACACACGAUCUGACACAGGAAAAAUCAACAAAUCACCUCAAACCACCACGCUGCCAGUCCUGAGGUAAGACCUGUUAAGACCUCUGCUCUGUUUAAAGAAAGCAUCCUCAUUGUUGGCCACGUCCAUGUUCUGUAAAUUAUAAAGCAGCGAUGUAUUCAGCGAUCUUCUCACUGCUUGUGACGUCUCAGAGUGACUAUGACCUCUCCCCAGGUGAGAUAGAACGUAACAGUCUAGGUCCAACAACCUUACCCACCAGUACCUGUUACUACUAGUCUCGCCACAUUGUUAGGUUCCACAAAUGUCAUGCUAUUUCUUAAGAUUAAAGAACUGUAAACACACUGGUUUCUCUUAAUGUUUUUCCUCAGAGUUCCUUCAAAUUGUCCCAGACAUAUUAGCCUGUUAGCAUUCGACCCUGAGGGAGAUGUGGUGAAAUGCAGAUAUGGCACAGAAGAGAGUAAUGAGUGUGACCUCUGCACACAGCCGUCCGUUCUCCACCUCACACAGGUCAGCAAAAGCCAGUUCAUGAGCUUUUUUUAACCCAUGACCUGCUCCACUCCUGAGGAUCCUCAUCAUCUCAUCUCAUCUUUUAGGAGUCAUGUGGCUUGUCCUUCAGUGGCACCAACAGCAGUGCUGAGGGGCUGUAUGCAGUCCAGCUGAUGAUGUUGGACUCCCCAAGGCAAGAUAUCACCAUAACCACUGAUUUUGGGCCUGUCCUACUAGACUCCAACAGUAAUAUCAGUGAAAUUCCUGUCCAGUUUACCUUUCAAGUUGAUCCUGCAGUGCCAUCCUGCACAGAAGGGCUUUACUUACCUGGGUUUCUGUCUCCCACACCAGCCAACAGAGCUCAGUUUAACACCUCUGUUGGCCAGACCAUUGAGAUCAGGAUCAAGGCCGAAUCAAACAUGUCUACGUGAGUCAACGGAGAGUGCUGAUAAGUCAAUUUAUUUAUGACUUUUUUGUUAAACUAAAUGUUUAUUAAUUUAUUCAGUCUCAUAGUCGCUCUUUGCCCACAUCAUCCUCAGACUAUAUUAACGUCUACUUAGUAAGGUGGAUUGAAAAGCAUCUAAGCCCCAUCACUUCCUGUUGUGUAAGGAUCUUAGAGCUGCUGUUCAGUGGGCCGUUCAACAUCAACCAGGCCAUGUCAGCACCAGGGGAGUUCAUCCUGAGCUGGACUCCAUCUUUCAUUGAAGGUGGAGAACACCAUCCCAUCUGUUUUGUUGUCCAGGGAGUAAAUAACGCCACCAAGUAUCAUUCUGAGAUGAGAUGUGUCAUUGUCAAUGUCAACGUAACAAUUGAAUCUACAACUGCAGUGACACAAAUCUCACCUGUAUCUGAGGUCAGCAGUAUCAUACCAACAACACCCGCAACUCCGACCAGUACAGAAGGAACUACAACACCAACAACAACCACUAUAACUACAACACCAACAACAACCACAAUA